AAUCCUCAAAACCUUUUUCUUUGACGAGAAAAGGAGUUUUGGACUUGGAGGUUCAAUGCUCGCUUUCGAUUUUCAAAAGUGAGCUCCUCUCAAAUGAAUCAGUGGGGUCCGCUUUGCUGGUCCUUGACGUGAUAAGAUGUUUCUACGUUUUGGAUCUGGCACUGUCCCUUGGAUGCCCGCUUCUAACCGUCUCAUAAGACAAUGAUGGUGCCCCGGUCACCGCCAUCCACGCGUUGGCGGGAGGCUUGGCCCACGACAAAAAA
rnacentral:misc_RNA from 1 species